GAUGAACGCUGGCGGCGUGCCUAAUACAUGCAAGUCGAGCGAACAGAUGAGGAGCUUGCUCCUCUGACGUUAGCGGCGGACGGGUGAGUAACACGUGGAUAACCUACCUAUAAGACUGGGAUAACUUCGGGAAACCGGAGCUAAUACCGGAUAAUAUAUUGAACCGCAUGGUUCAAUAGUGAAAGACGGUUUUGCUGUCACUUAUAGAUGGAUCCGCGCCGCAUUAGCUAGUUGGUAAGGUAACGGCUUACCAAGGCAACGAUGCGUAGCCGACCUGAGAGGGUGAUCGGCCACACUGGAACUGAGACACGGUCCAGACUCCUACGGGAGGCAGCAGUAGGGAUUCUUCCGCAAAGGGCGAAAGCCUGACGGAGCAACGCCGCGUGAGUGAUGAAGGUCUUCGGAUCGUAAAACUCUGUUAUUAGGGAAGAACAAAUGUGUAAGUAACUAUGCACGUCUUGACGGUACCUAAUCAGAAAGCCACGGCUAACUACGUG
rnacentral:rRNA from 1 species